rnacentral:rRNA from 1 species
UCAUUAAAUCAGUUAUCGUUUAUUUGAUAGUACCUUACUACUUGGAUACCCGUGGUAAUUCUAGAGCUAAUACAUGCUGAAAACCCCGACUUCGGAAGGGGUGUAUUUAUUAGAUAAAAAACCAAUGCCCUUCGGGGCUACUUGGUGAUUCAUAAUAACUUAACGGAUCGCAUGGCCUUGCGCCGGCGACGGUUCAUUCAAAUUUCUGCCCUAUCAACUUUCGAUGGUAAGGUAUUGGCUUACCAUGGUUUCAACGGGUAACGGGGAAUAAGGGUUCUAUUCCGGAGAGGGAGCCUGAGAAACGGCUACCACAUCCAAGGAAGGCAGCAGGCGCGCAAAUUACCCAAUCCCGACACGGGGAGGUAGUGACAAUAAAUACUGAUACAGGGCUCUUUUGGGUCUUGUAAUUGGAAUGAGUACAAUUUAAAUCCCUUAACGAGGAACAAUUGGAGGGCAAGUCUGGUGCCAGCAGCCGCGGUAAUUCCAGCUCCAAUAGCGUAUAUUAAAGUUGUUGCAGUUAAAAAGCUCGUAGUUGAACCUUGGGCCUGGCUGGCCGGUCCGCCUCACCGCGUGUACUGGUCCGGCCGGGCCUUUCCUUCUGGAGAGCCCCAUGCCCUUCACUGGGUGUGCGGGGGAACCAGGACUUUUACUUUGAAAAAAUUAGAGUGUUCAAAGCAGGCCUUUGCUCGAAUACGUUAGCAUGGAAUAAUAGAAUAGGACGUGUGGUUCUAUUUUGUUGGUUUCUAGAACCGCCGUAAUGAUUAAUAGGGAUAGUCGGGGGCAUCAGUAUUCAAUUGUCAGAGGUGAAAUUCUUAGAUUUAUUGAAGACUAACUACUGCGAAAGCAUUUGCCAAGGAUGUUUUCAUUAAUCAGUGAACGAAAGUCAGGGGAUCGAAGACGAUCAGAUACCGUCGUAGUCUUGACCGAAACUAUGCCGA